GAGGGGACCUGCUAAGUUACUGCUAAUAAUUUACUGUCGGCCUAUAACCGACUCCUCUCU
rnacentral:tRNA from 1 species